rnacentral:rRNA from 1 species
GCGUUGUCCGGAAUUAUUGGGCGUAAAGCGCGCGCAGGCGGUCUCUUAAGUCUGAUGUGAAAGCCCACGGCUCAACCGUGGAGGGUCAUUGGAAACUGGGGGACUUGAGGGCAGGAGAGGAGAGCGGAAUUCCACGUGUAGCGGUGAAAUGCGUAGAGAUGUGGAGGAACACCAGUGGCGAAGGCGGCUCUCUGGCCUGCACCUGACGCUGAGGCGCGAAAGCGUG